rnacentral:rRNA from 1 species
GAUGAACGCUGGCGGCGUGCCUAAUACAUGCAAGUCGAGCGAACGGACGAGAAGCUUGCUUCUCUGAUGUUAGCGGCGGACGGGUGAGUAACACGUGGAUAACCUACCUAUAAGACUGGGAUAACUUCGGGAAACCGUAGCUAAUACCGGAUAAUAUUUUGAACCGCAUGGUUCAAAAGUGAAAGACGGUCUUGCUGUCACUUAUAGAUGGAUCCGCGCUGCAUUAGCUAGUUGGUAAGGUAACGGCUUACCAAGGCAACGAUGCAUAGCCGACCUGAGAGGGUGAUCGGCCACACUGGAACUGAGACACGGUCCAGACUCCUACGGGAGGCAGCAGUAGGGAAUCUUCCGCAAAGGGCGAAAGCCUGACGGAGCAACGCCGCGUGAGUGAUGAAGGUCUUCGGAUCGUAAAACUCUGUUAUUAGGGAAGAGCAUAUGUGUAAGUAACUGUGCACAUCUUGACGGUACCUAAUCAGAAAGCCACGGCUAACUACGUG